UCGAUGCGCGGGGGCGCUGCAGCAUCACGGAGCGGUGCCGGCUCUGCGCCCUCGGUCUUCCCCCUCCCGCCCUCCUUCCUCAGCUUCCCGUUCCCUCCCCCCGCCCGCCCUGCGCAGCCAGCAGGGAUUGCUGCCCGGAGCUCCUCCGGAGCCUCAGGUGGCAAAUUCUUACUCAGUGGGAAAUAGAAAGUGCUUGUGAGCAGAAAGCAUGCCUCCCAAGUUCAAGAGACACCUAAAUGAUGAUGAUGUCACUGGGUCUGUGAAAAGUGAGAGGAGAAAUCUUUUGGAAGAUGAUUCAGAUGAAGAAGAGGACUUUUUUCUACGGGGACCAUCUGGACCAAGAUUUGGGCCUAGAAAUGAUAAAAUUAAGCAUGUUCAGAAUCAGGUGGAUGAAGUUAUUGAUGUAAUGCAAGAAAAUAUUACAAAGGUAAUUGAAAGAGGAGAGAGACUAGAUGAACUGCAGGACAAAUCAGAAAGCUUAUCGGAUAAUGCAACCGCUUUCAGCAACAGAUCCAAACAACUCCGAAGGCAAAUGUGGUGGCGUGGGUGCAAAAUAAAAGCCAUCAUGGCUUUGGCUGCAGCUAUCCUUUUGCUAAUGAUUAUCAUUCUUAUAGUUGUGAAAAACCGUACUUGAUUUGGUGACAGAGAUCCUCAUUAAACAAGAUCUGGGACAAUAAUAAUUAAAGAUUGCUGCAUAAUUUAAAUGAAACCUAUGUAUAUAACUUUCAAAUUUUCUUUAUCAAGAGACUAAAAGCUCAGAUCAUCCUGCACUUGAAAAAAUGAAGUUUUACCACCAUCAAAACUAUCAUUAUUUAACAACAAUGAAGAUCAACAGACAAAUCCAAGUAGCUUUGCUAAUGUUAGUUGAUGCCCAGUGAAAUCAGGUCACUACUCCUGUGCCUGAAGUGCGCCCGCCCUUGUGAUUUGUCCAUAACAGAAGCCUCUUCCCUUGCAGCAGUUUGUGAUGAACGGGUCCUUCCUCCUGGUCACAACUCAGUGGCACCUGUGGCCUUUGGUUCCUUUGUCCUAACAAAACCCAUUGGAAAUUGUCCCAAAAUGUUAUAAAUUGGGAAAUUUACAGAUUCAAAGAAGGCCCAGUAUUGAUGACAGAACAUUGUUUAAAAUGGAGAAAGAGUAAUACAUGUCAGGUACAGGGGAUCCUAUGACUGUCACUACAAUUCAUUCCAGGACUCUCUGUUAGAAAGUACUGUUGGCCUUUUAAUAGCAGAAUCGACGUGUUCUGGGUAGCAUGCGGGUACCUUGUAGAUACACACAUACACAGGGUGAGGAUCAGACAUGGAAAGAGCUUGAUAUCUCACCUUGCCACUUCCACAUGUUCUGUGUCCUUGUCAGCACAGUAGCCCAGACAGACUUGUAUUCACGUCUUGUAUAUGCUUUAUGAUUAGAGAAUCUGCAAGAAGUCUUCUCAGUGUUGAACAUAAAUGUCAUUAGUCGUAUUGAGUCAGAGUGUUACUAAGUUAAGAACUAUACUAUCAAUCAAAUUUUUUGUUUUCACAUAAAAAUGUUAUUAGAGUCAGUUUCACUUUUCUGUGAAUGGCACUAAGAACACAAGUCAAUCUAAACACGUUUUGGGAAGGCAGUUGCAAUAGAACAAUGUAAAGACAAUGGGUUAGAAGGAGCAACAAAGGGCCAUCUUAGUCCAUACAUGCCACCCUCCCUUAGACUGAUGGAAUCUGAGCCUGUUUUAUGUGUCUUAUUUUUGGGACUAUGUGACCCAAGCUGGCCUCAAACUCACAGAGAGCCACCGGCCUCUGCCUCUUAAGUGCUGGGAUUAAAGGUAUGUGCCACCAUGCCCCGCAGGCUUUUUCUUUUUGAUCAAAGAAAGAAUUCUUGGGCUCAAGUGAUCUUUCCAACUUAGCCUCAAAAGUAGCUGAAACUACACGGCACCACCAUAUGCAGAUAGGUCUUCUCUUUAAUCUGGUGUUAGUCUUACUCGGAUACUUACUUUCAUGUCAAGUAGAAUAAGGAAUGGGUGCACACUUAUUCUGGCUCUUGUUUUAUUUUACAAAGUAAGUACAGAUGAAAAGAAAACAUUGCUAAUCCAGUUGGGAUAAGUGUAAGCUUGUGAAGCAAGGACCAUGUCCUGUUGUUUCUCUCAGCAUUGCAUACCCUGGCAGAUGCUGGACAAAGGGAGGAGGGCAGACUAGGGUGGGGCUGUGCUCCAGAAGUCACACCGUUCUGGUGAGAGCUGAUUUCCAGUGUGUACUGACAGGUGACAUGAGUGUUGUAGGUGAUUACCUAGAGAUAAACAUGUUUUUGUUAUAAUUGAGUAUAGAAAAAUUCUGGUUUUACGGUGUUGAAUUAGCUUCUUUUCACUGGAAAAGAUUUUGAAAUAAAAUCAUAUUAAAGCUGUAAAUUGCAUAUGUCUGAGGAUUUAGUAAAAUAUUAGUGAUAAGAAAAUUCAAGCAUUGUUGUUAUGUCUUAGUUAUAUGUCAUUAUUUUACAUCCCAAAAUCCCUGAUUUAAAUUUUGGCAAGUGCCUUUGGCAUUUAAGGGGUAUGAUGGGAAAUGAGCAAAUUAGAUGCCAUGCUCCUUUUCCUGGCUUCUCAAUUCCUCAUGACCAUUUAUGUUUUACAGUGCUACAAAGUUCAGUCCUUUGUUUUCGUAUGAAAUGUAUUUGUAGCUUCUCCAUAGUAAACAGCAAAAUAAACCAUUUUGUAGAAAAUGAAAA